ACGAUUUUGGGAAAGCAUGAUGAUGGGUAUUCAUGCUCAUGUGUGAGAUGUAUCUCCUUCAAACCUUGUUUAAAGAAAAAAAACCUUGAUA
rnacentral:snoRNA from 10 species